rnacentral:rRNA from 1 species
CCUACGGGAGGCAGCAGUGAGGAAUAUUGGUCAAUGGACGAGAGUCUGAACCAGCCAAGCAGCGUGAAGGAAGACGGCCCUAUGGGUUGUAAACUUCUUUUAUAUAGGAAUAAAAUGUUCCACGUGUGGGAUUCUGUAUGUACCAUAUGAAUAAGGAUCGGCUAACUCCGUGCCAGCAGCCGCGGUAAUACGGAGGAUCCGAGCGUUAUCCGGAUUUAUUGGGUUUAAAGGGAGCGUAGGUGGAUUGUUAAGUCAGUUGUGAAAGUUUGCGGCUCAACCGUAGAAUUGCAGUUGAGACUGGCAGUCUUGAGUACAGUAGAGGUGGGCGGAAUUCGUGGUGUAGCGGUGAAAUGCUUAGAGAUCACGCAGAACUCCGAUUGCGAAGGCAGCUCACUGGACUGUAACUGACACUGAGGCUCGAAAGUGUGGGUAUCAAACAGGAUUAGAUACCCGAGUAGUC